rnacentral:rRNA from 1 species
GUCCACGCGGUAAACGAUGAAUACUAGGUGUAGGGGUAUCAACUCCCCUGUGCCGGAGCUAACGCAAUAAGUAUUCCGCCUGGGGAGUACGGCCGCAAGGUUGAAACUCAAAGGAAUUGACGGGGCCCGCACAAGCAGCGGAGCAUGUGGUUUAAUUCGAAGCAACGCGAAGAACCUUACCAAGGCUUGACAUCCACUUAAACGCAUGGAAACAUGCGGUCUCUUCGGAGGAAGUGAGACAGGUGGUGCAUGGUUGUCGU